rnacentral:rRNA from 1 species
GAUGAACGCUGGCGGCGUGCCUAACACAUGCAAGUCGAACGGAGUCGUUUUGGAAAUCUCUUCGGAGAUGGAAUUCUCGACUUAGUGGCGGACGGGUGAGUAACGCGUGAGCAAUCUGCCUUUAAGAGGGGGAUAACAGUCGGAAACGGCUGCUAAUACCGCAUAAAGCAUUAAAUUCGCAUGUUUUUGAUGCCAAAGGAGCAAUCCGCUUUUAGAUGAGCUCGCGUCUGAUUAGCUAGUUGGCGGGGUAACGGCCCACCAAGGCGACGAUCAGUAGCCGGACUGAGAGGGUGAACGGCCACAUUGGGACUGAGACACGGCCCAGACUCCUACGGGAGGCAGCAGUGGGGAAUAUUGCGCAAUGGGGGAAACCCUGACGCAGCAACGCCGCGUGAUUGAAGAAGGCCUUCGGGUUGUAAAGAUCUUUAAUCAGGGACGAAACAAAUGACGGUACCUGAAGAAUAAGCUCCGGCUAACUACGUG